rnacentral:misc_RNA from 1 species
AGUCGUAACAAGGUUUCCGUAGGUGAACCUGCGGAAGGAUCAUUACUGAGUGAGGGCCCUCUGGGUCCAACCUCCCACCCGUGUUUAUUGUACCUUGUUGCUUCGGUGCGCCCGCCUCACGGCCGCCGGGGGGCUUCUGCCCCCGGGUCCGCGCGCACCGGAGACACUAUUGAACUCUGUCUGAAGAUUGCAGUCUGAGCAUAAACUAAAUAAGUUAAAACUUUCAACAACGGAUCUCUUGGUUCCGGCAUCGAUGAAGAACGCAGCGAAAUGCGAUAACUAAUGUGAAUUGCAGAAUUCAGUGAAUCAUCGAGUCUUUGAACGCACAUUGCGCCCCCUGGUAUUCCGGGGGGCAUGCCUGUCCGAGCGUCAUUGCUGCCCUCAAGCACGGCUUGUGUGUUGGGCUCCGUCCCCCCGGGGACGGGUCCGAAAGGCAGCGGCGGCACCGAGUCCGGUCCUCGAGCGUAUGGGGCUUUGUCACCCGCUCUGUAGGCCCGGCCGGCGCCAGCCGACAACCAAUCAUCCUUUUUUCAGGUUGACCUCGGAUCAGGUAGGGAUACCCGCUGAACCUAAGCAUAUCA